CUGUGACUUCCAAGAUUCUCCUUGUUGAUUCUUUCUUGUGUAGAGAUUCUGUCUUUUCAUUGGUAGAAAGGGAAUAUAAGGCUGUGUGUGUGUGU